CAGGAUAGUAAUCAAAUAAACUAUCUUCCUCUAUACACUUUGCUCUUUCACUUGUUCAAGCCAUCCAUUGCCUCUCUCUCUCUUUCUGUCUAGGGUUUCUUUCAAAGUUUUAUCUAUUCAAAACAACUCAAUCUUGCUAAAUAUGUUUAGAUUUCAGUCACAAUGAGAUUUUUUUGGACUCAAUCGCCUUGAUAUACUUGCUUAUUUAUUGUUCUCUUCUGUUUGAUUUGAAGAAAAGAUUUGGAUAUUCUUGUUUGUACUAUGACUUCUACUGUUCCAGCAAAGUCUAGUAACCCACUUCACAACUUUGAUUUACCAUACUUGAAAUGGAAGAAGAAUCAGCACUCAAACAAUCACCAGCGCCGCCGAUCAAAUAAGCUUUCUUCAGAUUCAUCUUCCCCGUCGCGCCAUCAUUCGCCACAGCGUCAAUCACAAUCUCACUCUCCAAUGCGUGAAUCCAUGGCGGCGCGUCAGUCUCCUAUGCGUGAUUCUGUUGCACGUCAGUCUCCCAUGCGAGAGCCUAUUCUGGGGUUUCGUCAGUCUCCCAUGCGCGAAUCAUCCUCUCCGAUGCGUGAUUUGGUUGUGGCGAAUCACCGGUCUCCGAUGCGUGAUUCUGUUGUGGCGUCUCACCGGUCUCCGAUGAGUGAUUCUGUUGUGGCAUCUCGCCGGUCUCCGAUGCAUGAUUCUGUUGCGGCGGCAUCCCGACGGUCUCCGAAGUCUGAAUUUGUUGCUGCGGCUCGCCAGUCUCCGACGUCUGAAUCCAUUACGGCGUUUCGCCAGUUUUCCAUGCGUGAUUCCGUGCCUCCACGUCAGUCUCCGAUGAGGGAGUCUGUGCUGCCGCGUCAGUCUCCAAUGCACUGUGAAUCUGUUCCUGAAUCGGACAAGGACAGAAGUGUUGUUGAGUAUCGUAGGCAUUCACGAAUUUCAGCACCUGAAAGUACGAAGAAAGGGAUCUGUGAGAAAUCAGAUAAGAAGCAUAAAGUAGUAGAGGUGGAUGCGGCUGGGAAUAAAGAAGGUAGAUCGAAAAUCUUGCUCAAAAUUCCUCGGAAAAACAAGGCCGAGGAAAUCCAUGAAGAGCAAAAGGGUGAUGAAUCUCAAGAGGUUACUGCAGACGAGGAAGCUGCUGAAGAUACAGCACCAAAGACGUGGAAUCUGAGACCCAGAAAGGCUGUACAAAAAUCAUUGAAUGUGAAUGGAGGUCCAUUUCGAGCCAGUGGAUCGGUGAUACAGGAGAACAAAUCUCAAUCGCCUCACAUGAAUGUGAACAAGCCAGAAAAUAAUGAAUCCAACCCUCCGAAAAAGGUAAAAAGGCCUAGGUUUUCGAUAGCCCUCUCCAGAGAAGAAAUUGAUGAAGAUAUAUAUGCUAUGACUGGAUCAAAGGCUACAAGAAAACCUAAGAAGAGAGUAAAGACUGUUCAGAAACAACUUGAUACGCUCUUCCCUGGUUUAUGGCUAGCUUCAAUAACUCCUGAUUUGUAUAAAGUUUGUGAAAAUGUUCCAAAGGGUUAAAAGCAAUCCUUCAAAGGUGGUGGUUGUCCUUCGAAUGUCCUUUGCUUUUUGUGGAAGUUUGAAGGUGAUGGCUUCCAAAUUUUAUGAUUGCAUUUGGAGGUUCAGGAAUGAUACUUUCAGCCUUAAAAGUUGUUAUCCAACACAAAUUCUCUUCUCCCAAAAACAUUAUUUGAGAGGUAGGAGACUGGCAAUUAGGUAUAAGCUGAUAUAUGCGAAGGAGCGGCCAUUUUGACAUGACUACUCCUUCAAUCAUCCAUCAUCCAUCAUCCAUCAUCCAUCAUCCAUCCCACUGAGUAACAAUCACUAUAUCUGUUGAAGUAGGUCAGUGGGAGGUAAUAUAUCAUAUUUGAGCAUGUAAUUCCUUUUGAAUAUAUCAAAGUAAAAAUGUUUUCUUACUUCUUGAGCUGCGACAUAUUUGAACUUUACAACUUACCCAUGGUUUUAGGCAGCCUUACACUGACCUGGCUUGGCUAUAAGUUAUGAAGAUGGAGAAAAUCAUCCAGGUUCCAACUUUGUGUAUUUUCUCAUAAUAGAGUUUUACAUUCUCAUCAUAAACAUUAUAAUUUCUUCCUCUGCUUCCUGAUCAUCUCUACGUUCAGGUUGCAACAUACAGUGCGAUUGUAUGAUUGCAGAUUUAGGUGUUUGGGCAAUGCACAUGCUUGUAGUCACUCUAUUUCCCCUCUUUGUGCAUCUGGGUGAGAUGGGUAGUCUAGUCUGGGAUUCCUCUGUUUCUGGAUUUUCUCUUUUAGUUUAAUAUCAUGAUUUAAUAAACCUCAUUAUGGUCUCACAGUACUAGACCUCUUGUUUAGUGUUCCAAUUUACUCUUCUAGUUGUGCAGUGCUUGUGCUAGACAACGUUUACGGUAGAUCACUCAAGGUAUAGAACCAAACAGUCAAUGAAAGGUAAUUAAAAGCCAUUCCUUGAUUGUUUGAAGCCAUGAAGCGAUGCAAAGCCAGGGGCGCCAAAAGCUUUAUGAUGGGCAAAGCCAUGCACUUCUGAGAAUUGUGCGCUUCAAACAGUGACGUGCAAUAUUAUCUCAAGAAGUAGCAGCCAACUCAUUGAAUGUUAUCUCUGAGGAGUUGGAUUGAUAUCAGCAUUUCAAAAUUACUUCUUAUGGUAACGAUUAUAUUUGGUAUUUUAAUUCUUUGUCAGUUAUGUGUUUUGCUUCAAUUAAGUGUGCGCAUCACUGCACGCUUUUUGGCUUCAAGCUCGAUGGAUUUGUGGCUUUAUAGAGCAAUUUGUUUUUAAAAGCACCGAAACUGGAUGAGAACUAUAGGAUAAGAAGGGUGCAUUUGAUAUGACGGAGCUGUUUUUCAAGAAAAUGUUUUCUUGCUAAGCAAAAGGUUUUUAUCGUGUCAGG